CACCCGAUCCCAUACCGAAUUCGAAGAGUGAAAAUUAUUCAAACCUCACAAUACUCUAAGUUUUUUAUUUAGGGGAAAAUGGGAGUAAAAUUU
rnacentral:rRNA from 1 species